UACGGAGGGUGCAAGCGUUAUCCGGAUUCACUGGGUUUAAAGGGUGCGUAGGUGGGCUAGUAAGUCCGUGGUGAAAUCUCCAAGCUUAACUUGGAAACUGCCGUGGAUACUAUUAGUCUUGAAUCUCGUGGAGGUAAGCGGAAUAUGUCAUGUAGCGGUGAAAUGCUUAGAUAUGACAUAGAACACCGAUAGCGAAGGCAGCUUGCUACACGAGUAUUGACACUGAGGCACGAAAGCGUGGGGAGCAAACAGG
rnacentral:rRNA from 1 species